rnacentral:rRNA from 1 species
GACGGGUGAGUAACGCGUGAGAAUCUGCUUGGGGUCGGGGACACCACUGGAAACGGUGGCUAAUACCGGAUAAGCCUUUGGGUAACAGAUUAUUGCCCCAAGAGGAGCUCGCGUCUGAUUAGCUAGUUGGUGAGGUAAGAGCUCACCAAGGCAGCGAUCAGUAGCUGGUCUGAGAGGACGAUCAGCCACACUGGGACUGAGACACGGCCCAGACUCCUACGGGAGGCAGCAGUGGGGAAUUUUCCGCAAUGGGCGAAAGCCUGACGGAGCAAUGACCGCGUGAGGGAGGAAGGCUCUUGGGUUGUAAACCUCUUUUCUCAGGGAAAGAAGCUCUGACGGUACCUGAGGAAUCAGCCUCGGCUAACUCCGUGCCAGCAGCCGCGGUAAUACGGAGGAGGCAAGCGUUAUCCGGAAUUAUUGGGCGUAAAAGCGUCCGCAGGUGGCGAUUCAAGUCUGCUGUCAAAGCACCGGGGCUUAACUCCGUUAUGGCAGUGGAAACUGAA